AUUGAACGCUAGCGGGAUGCCUUACACAUGCAAGUCGACCGGAGUGGCGAACGGGUGAGUAAUGUAUCGGAACGUGCCCAGUAGCGGGGGAUAACUACGCGAAAGCGUAGCUAAUACCGCAUACUAUUGGCGCGGCCGAUCUCGGAUUAGCUAGUUGGUGGGGUAACGGCUCACCAAGGCGACGAUCCGUAGCUGGUUUGAGCGGACGACGAGCAAAACUGGGACUAGGCAACGGCCCAGACUCCUACGGGAGGCAGCAUGGGGGAAUUUUGGAAAAGGGAGGAAACCCUGAUCCAGCCAGCCCGCGUGUGCGAUGAAGGCCUUCGGGUUGUAAAGCACUUUUGGCAGGAAAGCGGUACCUGCAGAAUAAGCACCGGCUAACUACGUGCCAGCAGCCGCGGUAAUAC
rnacentral:rRNA from 1 species